rnacentral:tRNA from 1 species
GUAGAUAUAGUUUAAAUUAAAACAUCAGAUUGUGAUUCUAAUAAUAGAAGUUAAAAUCUUCUUAUCCACC